CGAGGCCCCCGCAGCAGGCACGAGCGCGCCGAGCCCCACGCAGAGCACGAGAGGGAGCAGCAGCCGGGGCCCCGGGUCCAUGGUGCUGGAGUUGAUAACUGAAGCCCCAAAGGGUGAGCUGAUCCAUUUGUCAGCCACCGUGGUGCUGUCCUCAGCCUGGGAGCACCCUUCAGGAGGGAGGCAGCUGAGCAGACUCAGUGAAGGAGAUGUGAUGAUCUUACAUGGCUGACUCUGAGGAUGGAGGAGAGGGUCGUGAGUUGAGAAGGGCAGGUGGCCUCCAAGAGGUGGACAAAGAAGUAAACGGAUUCACCUCUAGGGUUCCCAGGAGGAACCAGCCCUGCUGACACCUUGAUUUUGGUUCGUGAGACCCAUUUUGGACUUCUGACGUCCAGAACGAUAGGAGAAACCAGGACUCACAGAGAGUUAGCACUGGCCCAAGGUCACACAUCAUUAGAGUGGGAAUUCAAACCCAGGUCUGGAUGCUUUACGCUGUGGGUUUUGUGAGUGAUUUCAAAGACUUUGGACUUGGACCUCUUUUCUGAGCCUCCAGAGAACUUGUUCCAGCCCCACAACAUGCCUGGAGAGGCCUAGGGCAGCUUUUCUUCCAGUCCCCUAACUCACAACUUCAGUGCUGAUGUUAAGGGGCUAAUCUGAAUGGUCCUUCAUCUUGAGGGCCUGCUUCUACUUCAGGGCUCCACUGCAGCAGUAGAGACGGGACACGAUCAUUCCACUGAUGAAGAGUCAUUAAUCCAUUCAUUCAUUCUUUCAACUGAUGUUCAUUGCCUUUUGCUUGUAAUCACAAUUCUUGUCUUGACUCCUAUAUUAGUUUCCUCAGGCUGCCAUAACAAAGUACCGUGAACAUAACAACAGAAAUCUAUUCUCUCACAGUUCAUUGGCCAGAAAUCUGAAAUCAAGGCUUCAGCAGGGUCAUGCUCCCUUCAAAGGCUCUAAGGGGAGAAUCCUUCCUUGCCUUGUCCAGCUCAUGGUGGUUCCUGGUAUUCAUUGACUUAUGGUAGCACAACUUCAAUCUCUUCCUCCAUCUUCAUAUGGCCUUCUUCCCUGUGUAUCUGUGUCUCUACACAGCUUUCUUAUAAGAACUCUAGUCAUUGGGUUUAGGACCCUCCUAAUUUGACAUGACCUUAUCAAUUAGAUGACAUAAUGUUUUACAUUUAGAUUUUUCAACACCAUUAUUAUACUCAUUGGUCCUCAUUUAGAAUGUCUCAGUGUCACUCCUGUGUGAGAUGUGAGCGCAUUCUGCCAGUCCGCAGACAUGUGCUGGCAUUUCCUGCUAAAGAGAAAAUGGACCACAUACUUCUUGCUUGUGCUUAUAAGGUCUGAAUGGGAAUUAUUAGGCCAUAGGGAAGAUUUGUAAGAGAUAAUGGUAAUGUGAUCAUUUUAUUGGUCAUUCCGUUAGAAGGGAGGAAUCCCUUAAUUUUCCUUCUUUCAUUGGAAGAACUGUUUAUGAAGGUGUAGUUCAACAAGUCUGGAGGGCUAUGUGAGAGUCAUAUUGGGGCCUCAGGGGCAAAAACCCUCUUCUUAAGGAAAAACUUGGGAGUAUAAACAGAUACUAAUGGGGAAUAAUUAGGUGUGGUUAUUUAUGCCUGGAGUUAUGAAAGAGAAGGAGCUCUGUAUACUUAGGGCAAAAGAACACACUCUCCUGAUGCAGAGAGAGGAGCUGGACUCGAGCUGUCUCUCUCCCUAGGUCACCAGCCCCAUCUUCUACCCCUGCCAUGGUCUCUGAGCACCAUGAGCCACCUGCUGGCUUUGACCCUUCUGGUUUUGUCUCUGACAAACCUCCACAUAGUAGGGGUUUGGGAACAAUUCAUUCAUUCACCUGUACAUUUAUUUGUGUAUAUACCCUUGUUCAUUCUUUCAUUCAUUUAUGAAGGCACUCACUCACUCAUUUGACAAUGUUUCAACAAGUAUUUGAUGAAAGCCUGUAUGUGCCUUGUGGCAGGCAGGUACUGACUGAGUGAUAUAUAAAAAUAAAGGUAGUCACAAUCCUUGUUCUCCAGAAAUUUAUUGUUUUAUUUGAGACAAAUCUAGCUCAUAUUUUAGAGCUCAGUACAAUACAUGGCAGUUCAGAAUGUCAGUGCCAAAAAAGUGGCCCAGAUACUAAGAGCUAUAGGAGCUCCUGGAAACGAGCCUAAGCAGUGGAGGGACUUGAGCAGGGCCCUAAAAUAUGGAGGAUUUUGGCAGAUAUGGAACAGGGAGAAGGGACCUCAAAGCAGAAAACACAGAAUAAGCAAAGGCAGAAGGACAUAAAUAAUAACGGUGUUUAUGAGGGAGAGUAGAGAGACUAUUCUGGCAAGAGAGAACGGGCCAUUAUCUGGAGUUAUGGGAGAUGACUAUCAAAUUAGAUCAGGGCCAGGCUGAUGAAGGAAUUUGAAUGAAAGAAACAGCAUAUUGACUUUAUUCAAUAUGGGUCUUGAGAAUCACUAACACUCUUGAAUAGAAAUGAUGAUGUUGGAAAGAACUUAAGACAGUUAAGGAUACCACCAUUACCCAAAUAGUCAGGCAGAGUAUAGGGGGAAGGUGAACCCUGAUAGGGCAACCUCCUUCAUAGGCAGUGGGAAUGGGAGAAGGAGCAAAGAGGGGUGAUGUUUAAUUUUUCUAAUCAUGUAUGAAAUAUAGGAGAAAUAUUUGCAUGGGUAAACUUGAGUCACACAUGGUUUGCCAGUGAGAGAAAGCUUUGUGUGCAGUGGCUUCUUUAGAAAGAAGAAUAUAUUGGCUCAAGCAACUAAACUGAAGGAAGGACUAAGGCUGUGGCUCACAGCAAGAGGGAGGAUUUUGUUUACAACUCAAGUAAUCUUACAUAAAAUUGAAGACAAUCACUUUUACUUGUUCUUUGAUUAAUGUUCAAAUAAUUAAUAUAUUUAACAAAUUGUAUCUUCAUUAAACAUUUAGAACCCACUUACAUAUCCCAAUUUCCAUAGACAAUUUCAAAUAAGAAGAACAAACUUAUUACAUAUAGACAUAAUAAUGCAAUAAUAACUAACACUUACGUAGCACUUACUAUAUGCCAGGCGCUGUUGUAAGUACUUUAUAUAUAUUAUCAAUAUAAUCCUCACAACAACCUUGUCAGAUAGGUUGCUAUUAUCAACCCAAUUUUAGAAGUGAUAAAAUUGACAUCCAUGGAAUUUUAUACAUCCAAUAAGUUGUACAGCUUGGAUUCAAACCCAGUCAUUCAGACUCCGGAGUUCAUGCUCUUAACCACCACACUUCUAUUAUCUCUCAAUCUAAAAAGAAGUUUUAAAAAAAUGUAUUCUAAAACCAGCAUCAUGCUUAAUAGAGAAUCACUAUUAGUAUGACUAUUUAACAAUAUUUUGGUCACACUAGACAAUGCAACUACACAUGAAAAAGAAAUCUGAAACAUUGAAAAACAGGAGGUAAAAUAAUUAUUUGUAGAUAGUAUGAUUUUACAGCUGGAAAACAACAAGAGAAUCAAUAGAAAAACUACUGCAAAUAAUCAAUAAGAGAAUCCAGUCUCUCAAAUCAUUGUAAAAUUAAAUAUAAAAUUUAGUAAUCUUCAUAUGUAAAAACCACCUAGAUAGAAGAUAUAAUGAAAGAAGAGUCCCAUUUGGAAUAGUAAUAUGAGAGCUAAACCUCUUCAAGAUAAACAGAACAAAAUUUAUGCAAGAUAUACAUGAAGAAAACUUUAAAAUACUGAGAGACACAAAAAAGACAAGAGGAAAUAGAAAGGCAUACUAUGUUCUUGGAUAGGUUGUCUCAAUAUCAUAAAGACGUUAAUUCAAGUAACUUAGUUUAAAGAUUAACUUGAACCUAGUAAAAUUUCAACAGCUAAAUGUACAGUUCAUAUAGGAAAAAUAUUCAAGCAAGUAUAGCUAGGAACAUUCUUUAAAGAAAGAGUAAUGAGCCUUACCAGAUAUGAAAAUGUGUUAUAAAGCUACAAUAAUUGACAGCAUGCUUCUGGCAUAUGACUAGUUAGACAUGUUAUGGAACAGAAUGUGAAGUCUAGAAACACAUCCAAAUAAAUUGUUUCAGGAUAUGAUAAAGCCUACAUUUGAUUAUUUAAUAAAUGGUGUUAGGACAACUGCACAGCCUACCAGAGAAAAAUAAAAUUAUAUCCCCACCAUACAAUUUGUAUCAAAAUAAAUUCUAGAUGUACUAAAGAUUUAAAUGUGGGAAAUGAAAACAUACCAGUACUAGAAGAAAAAAAUGGGAGAAUUUUUAAUAAUCUCAGAGUAAGAAAGGCUUUCACGAUGCAAAGCUGUAAGAGAGCAUCACUACUAAUCUUAUGGAAAUAAAAAGGAUUAUAAGACAAUACUAUGUACAACUAUAUUCCCCCCAAAACUAGAUUAUCUAGAUGAAACUGAAAAAUUCCUAGAAAGACACAAACUACCAAAACUGGCUCAAGAAGCAAUAGAAAAUCUGAGCAGACUUGUAACAAGUAAAAAGAUUGAAUUAGUACAUUUAAAACUUCCCACAAAAAAUAUCCCAGGCCCAGAUAGCUUCACUGAUGAAUUCUAUCAAACAUUCCGAGAAGAAUUAAUACUAACCCAUUACAGACUAUUUCAAAGACAGAAGAGGAGGGAAGACUUCUCAGCUCAACCUAUAAGGCCAGUACUACACUGAUAGCAAAAUUUGACAGACAUUACAAGGAAAGAAAACUAUAAAUUAAUCUCUCUUAAUAAUACAGACACAAGAAGCCUCAACAAAAUAAUACAAAACCAAAUUCAGCAACGUAUAAAAAGGAUUAUUCACCCUGACGAAGUGGGAUUUAUCCCAGGAAUACAAGGUUGGCUUAACAUCUAAAAAUCACAUCAAGGUAACACAUGGUUUUAAUAGAACUAAGAACAAAACUACAUGAUCAUUUCAAUAGACCAGAAAAAGCAUUUGACAAAAUCCAACACCCUUUUAUGGUUAAAAAAAAAAAACCCCAACACUAAAAAAACAGGAGAAGAAGGAAAUUUGAUCAAAUUGAUAUAGGCCAGCUAUGACAAAUUCACAGUUAACCUGGUGAAAGACUGAUUGCUUUGCUUUCCUCCUAAGAUCAGGAAAAAGACAAAGCUGUCCACUCUCAUUACUCCUAUUCAGUAUUGCCGUGGAGAUUCUAGUCAAGGCAGUUAGGCAAGAAAAAGAAAUAAAAGGAUCCAGACUGAAAAGCAAGAAGUAAAGCUGUUUAUAUUAGCAGAUGACAUGAUCUUGUGUAGAAAAUCCUAAGGAAUCCACAAAGUUACUAGCAGAACUCAUAAAUUUUUUUAAAAACUACUAGAAUUAACUAAAUUCAGCAAGGGUUCAGGAUAUAAGAUCAAUAUACGAAAUCAAUUGUAUUUCUAUAAGCAGCAGUGAAUAAUAAAAAAUGAAAUUAAGGAAACAACUCCAUUUAUAGUAGCAUCAAAAAGAAUAAAAUACUUAGGAAUAAAUUUAACAGAAUAAAUAUGAGACCUGUAACUGAAACCCACAGAAUAUUAUUGAAAGAGGUUAAAGAAGACAAAUAAAUGGAAGGACACCUUAUGUUCAUGCAUCAGAUGACUUAAUAUUGUUAAGAUCACAACACUCCCCAAAUUAAUCUACACAUUCAACACAAUUCCUACCAAACCUCUAGCUGGCUUUUUUUUUCAGAAUUUGACAAGAAAUAUAAAACUCAUAGGAAUUCAAGGGACCCAGAAGAGCAAAGAAAAAAAAUCUUGAAAAAGAAGAGCAAAGUUGGAAGACUCACACUUCCUGAUUUCAAAACUUACAACACAGCUGUAGUAAUCCACAGUGUGGUGUUCACAUAAGGAUAGAUACAUAAAUCAAUGAAAUAAAAUUGAUAAUCCAGAAAUAAACCCUUACAUUUAUAGUCAAUUGAUUUUCUACAAGGAUGCCAAGAUCAUCCAAUGGUGAAAUAAGAGUCUUUUUAACAAAGGGUGCUCAGACAACUGGAUUUCCACAUGCAAAAGAAUAAAGUUGGACCCCUACCUCACAUCAUAUUAAAAAACUAACUUGAAAGAGAUUAUAGACCCAAAUGUAAGAACUAAACUUUAAAACUUUUAGGAGAAAACACAAGAGUAAGUUUUUGUGAUCUUGCUCAUAAUGUGACACCAAAAACCCAAUGACAAAAGAAAAAAUAGAUAAAUUAAAACUUUUGUGCUUCAGGGGCCGGC